CUAAGACAUUUUUCCUUUUCAUAUUUGAACUUUUCUGAAAUCAAGGUAUAUCUUCAAGUGAUGCCCCUUCAUAAAUACUUAGCAGUACUUUCUCAAGUCUGUAUGAAAGCACUGUGGGUCCUACACGUCAAAGACAAGCUUUCUAGUCCGCAAACUGCAGUGGCUCUCAUUGGCCCAAGCACAUCACGUGUCUCUCACCCGCCAAUCACUGCAACUCUGGUUGGGAAGCCAUAGGCUCAUCUCUGGUGUUAACUGGUUGGAGUCAGCAUCACCUAAGCAAAAGGAGCGACAGAGGAAUGGCAGUUUCUGAGAGGAAAAUCAGAGUGUCACUGCCCCCCGGAGAGAUGGCUGUGGAUUCCCGGCAGGCAGAAACAACUGCUGCCUCCUCUGCUCAGAGUCAUUCCGGAAUUCGGAAAUUCUGGCCACCUGCAGUGUGCAAAGGCAGCUGGCCAGGCAAGGAAGCUGGCGCCAGGUCCCAGGGCCCCUCCCUGGAGGGAGCAAAGGCCUCUCGGGUUGCAGCUGCAGAAAGAGGGAGGAGAGAAGAGGGACAGGAUGGAGUGGAGAGCCUUGGAGGCAGUGGUUUGGACAUCAACUCGGUCCUGAGGUUGUCAAGUUUAAUCCUCAACUCCUGAAAGUUCCCAGAAGCAGCCAUUUUUUUUUUUUUUUUUUUUUUUGCAUUGUUCUGUUCCGGGAGCUACGAACUCAAGUGUCUACAGAACAUGUCAGAUAGCAUAAACAAGAGAAGUGGCCAAGGCUAAUAAAGAUCAUUCAGCUCUCUUGGUCUGGCUUUUGCUUUCUCACUUUUGACAGAGACAUGAAAGCAGAGGAAUAGUUCUUACUAUAAAAAUGCACACACAGUACAGUCAGUGAUGGGGGCAAGUGACACUCAUCCUUGGUUGGGGAGCAGUAGACUGUGGGUGGUGACUGUGGCACACCUCCUACCAGCCAGUUUGCUGUUUUGCAGAAAUCUGGCCCAGUGUGGCCAGAAAUUACCAUUUUUAAAGAGAAGCUGGAAAUCCAGAUUUGUAUGUGGUGUCUCCCAAUUUUUUAAGUUUGACAAUUAUUUUACAAAAUUGAAGUCUGGUUGAUUUACAAUGGUAUGUUAGUUUCAGGCGUGUGGCAAAGUGAUUCCAUUAUAUAUCUGUUCUUUUUCAGAUUCUUUUUCAUUAUAGGUUAUUACAGGAUAUUGAAUACAGGUCCCUGUGUUAUACAGUUUAUCUAUUUUUAUGUAGAGUAGUAUUUAUCUGCUAAUCCUAGAUUCCUAAUUUAUCCCUCCCCUCCCUUUUCCCUUUGGUAACCAUAAGUUUGCUUUCGAUGUCUAUGAGUGUAUCAUAGUUUUAGAUUCCACAUAUAUGUGAUAUCAUAUGCUUUUUGUCUUUUACUGUCUUGCUUCACUUAGUAUGAUAAUCUCUAGGUCCAUCCACGUUGCUGCAAAUGACAUUAUUGCAUUCCUUUGAUGGCUGAGUAAUAUUCCAUUAUAUAUGUAUGUAUACCACAUCUUUAUCCAUUUCUCUGUCACUGGGCAUUUAGGUUGCUUCCAUGUCUUGACUGUUGUAAAUCAUGCUGCAACAAACAUUGGGGCAUAUGUAUUUUUUUAAAUUAGUGUUUUCUCCAUAUAUACGCCCAGGAGUGGGAUUGCUGGAUCAUGUGGUAACUCUAGUUUUAGUUUUCGAAGGAGCCUCCAUCCUAUUCUCUGUAGUGGCCACACCAAUUUACAUUCCCAUCAACAGUGUAGGAGGGGUCCCUUAGUUCCACACUUUCUCCAACAUUAUUUACUCUUUGAUGAUGGCCG
rnacentral:lncRNA from 1 species